UCCGGAGAGGGAGCCUGAGAAAUGGCUACCACAUCCAAGGAAGGCAGCAGGCGCGUAAAUUGCCCGAAUCCUGACACAGGGAGGUAGUGACAAGAAAUAACAAUACAGGGCUACAUCUAGUCUUGUAAUUGGAAUGAGUACAAUUUACAUCUCUUCACGAGGAUCAAUUGGAGGGCAAGUCUGGUGCCAGCAGCCGCGGUAAUUCCAGCUCCAAUAGCGUAUAUUAAAGUUGUUGCAGUUAAAACGCUCGUAGUCGGAUUUCGGGGCGGGCCUACCGGUUUGCCGAUGGGUAUAUACUGGUGGGUGCGUCCUUCCUUCCGGAGACCGCGCCUCCUCUUAACUGAGCGGGCGUGGGAGACGGAUCGUUUACUUUGAAAAAAUCAGAGUGUUUCAAGCAGGCAUGUCGCUUUUGCAUGGAUUAGCAUGGGAUAAUGGAAUAGGACCCUGGUUCUAUUUUGUUGGUUUUGAGAACCAGAGUAAUGAUUAAUAGGGACAGUUGGGGGCAUUCAUAUUUCAUUGUCAGAGGUGAAAUUCUUGGAUUCAUGAAAGAUGAACUUCUGCGAAAGCAUUUGCCAAGGAUGUUUUCAUUAAUCAAGAACGAAAGUUAGGGGAUCGAAGACGAUCAGAUACCGUCGUAGUCUUAACCAUAAACCAUGCCGACUAGGGAUUGGAGGAUGUUCCUAUGUGACUCCUUCAGCACCUUUCGGGAAACUAAAGUCUUUGGGUUCCGGGGGGAGUAUGGUCGCAAGGCUGAAACUUAAAGGAAUUGACGGAAGGGCACCACCAGGAGUGGAGCCUGCGGCUUAAUUUGAC
rnacentral:rRNA from 1 species